rnacentral:misc_RNA from 1 species
UAAACGAUUUCUAGAAUAUUUAUCGAUGUACACUUGCGCGCGUCUCAGCACUUUUAUUCAUACCCGACCUUUUGAAGACUGUUAACCGAUAGAACUGUUUACAUUCGUCUGUUUCUCAGUCGCCGCGCACACACAUAUCUCCACACAGUGAUAUCCCGUUACAUCGCCGCGCACACACAUAUCUCCACACAGUGAUAUCC